rnacentral:lncRNA from 1 species
GCCAAUACUUUUAGCCAGCACUGUAUAUACAUCACAUAUGGUCUAUGAUUAAAAUAUUUUCCUUUCUUCUAUUUUUUGUAGGAAACUGAUCCUAAUGGUACUCUCUCCUGUGUGUACUGGAAGAACACUGAAUGGGCUGUAGNUGGGUGUUAUCUUGUCGAGACCAACAGUAGUCACACCGUGUGCUCCUGUGUUCACCUGUCUACCUUCGCUCUCAUCAUGCAGACCAAACCCUCAGCAGAAACAAGUGACCCUCUUCUGGAUCUGCUCAGCACUGUACUGGUAUCAGUGGGGCUGGUGUUCCUCAGCUUGACUCUGUUGACCUUUGCCGUUUGUCGUCGACACCUGAGGAUGAACAACACUCCCAGAAUAAACCUGUGUAUCAGUCUUCUGCUGGCUCACCUGACCUUCCUCCUCACUCAGAAAUUCAUACACUACAUCCAGCCAUUAGAGGUAACCAGUGUCUGUCUGUCUGUCUAUCGGUCAUCUGCGUUGUUUACUCUUGGUGGUGUUGGGUCUCCACUCAAGAGUUAUUGUGUUAUGGUAGAACCACUGCUUUUCUGGCAGUUUUUGUUGAUCUCCUUUGUUCUAAAUAAAUAAAGCUUAGAUAAGGUAAAAAAAAAGAAGUAAUGUAUUCUGUGGUAUAGCUCACAUUUUAUAAUGUUCUAUAGGUAC